rnacentral:rRNA from 1 species
AACGCGAAGAACCUUACCCAGGCUUGACAUGCACUGGACAGCGCCAGAGAUGGCGUCUCCCUUCGGGGCCGGUGCACAGGUGCUGCAUGGCUGUCGUCAGCUCGUGCCGUGAGGUGUUGGGUUAAGUCCCGCAACGAGCGCAACCCUUAUCAUUAGUUGCCAACACGUAAAGGUGGGGACUCUAAUGAGACUGCCUGGGUUAACCAGGAGGAAGGUGAGGAUGACGUCAAGUCCGCAUGGCCCUUAUGUCUGGGGCUACACACGUGCUACAAUGGUCGGUACAAAAGGCAGCGAAACCGCAAGGUGAAGCAAAUCCCCAAAACCGAUCCCAGUUCAGAUUGUAGUCUGCAACUCGACUACAUGAAGAUGGAAUUGCUAGUAAUGGCGAGUCAGCAACAUCGCCGUGAAUACGUUCCCGGGUCUUGUACACACGC